UAAUAAGUGUUUUAUGGCACUUUUUAAAUCCAUAUCCACCUUGUGUGCAAUGUCAGUCGAUCUUCUUCAUGGAGAUCGACCAAACAUCAACCUUUACCUUUUAACUCUUUUGUCUGAAAAAUAUUAUGAAAUAAAACAAUUCAAAAUA
rnacentral:misc_RNA from 1 species